rnacentral:lncRNA from 1 species
CAUCCCUGGACCUGGGCCAGAGGCUUAGCUGCCUCUGCUGAGGCUGACGCAGCCUGCGUGAGGAACGUGGCCGACGAGCAGGACAGGACUGAGCCUGCGAGCAGGGUAGGAUGUCAGAGAACCAGAAACAGCCCACCUGGGAACAAAGUCAGCAUGGAGUAAACUGAUCUGGAAGAUACUAAGAGCUGGAGAGGCAGAGAUCUGAUAACAUCAGGUGCUGGAUCCAGCCAUUCCUGAAGCUAACUCUCUGGAUAUUACUGCUAUGUGAGCCCAAGGCUUGAGUUCCUAAGCAGAAGACUCGUCUGCCAUUGGACAGAGCCUGCUGCAGGUCUGGACCGCCCUGAGUGCUCCACCCCGCAAGUCGUCCUCAAAGGGGUGGAAGUGGCUUCUUCUGGCAAAGUGCCCUCUCCAGUCCACACGCCAGGGCUCCCAUUUUUUAUUGAGGAAGUAGUGGCCUACUCCACUUUUGAACUUGAGCCUCUAUAUCUUUUGCCAGGUAAUAAACAGAGCAGCUCAGUAAAUGUUGAGAAUCGAAAUAGGGGAGGUAAGGGGAAAUGGAUGUGUGUAAGUGCAGUAAAAGAAAGCUGGCCUAAUUUUGUUCAUUACCAUGCCCCCAGUGUAUAUAACAGAGGCUGAGCAGGUGCUCAAUCCAGUUACCCAAGAAAUGAGCCCAGC